UACUGAGAGCAUCACCUAAGUGCACAGUUGUCAUGACAAAGAGGAAGAUGAACUGGAGGAUUUGGGAGGUUUGGGGCACUUGAUUGAUGCCAUACUGUAGAGGACAUCCAUAGCACCAGAUACAGGUUAACUCUUCUUUCAUGUUGCUUUAGAAAGAGGUCAGAAACUGGGGAUUAAAAAAUGAGAAAGAUAGAAUGCAAGAACAUUUGAAAACAUUUCAUUGCAAAUUGCAAAUUGCGAGGAAUGAGUCAAAAUGAUAGUUUCUGAUUUAUGUGUGGGGAAGGCAAUGUAGUAGCUUCUCCAUUCAAAAGAUCCCUGAGCAAAUAAAUGAGCAAAUUCCAUUACUUGAUAACUGUUCCUUCCCAUGGGUGGGGGAUUUGUGGAAGGUACAUAGAUUUUAAUUUUUGUAAUCAUAGAGAUGUAUUUCUAUAGCUGGAUGGAGAACAGGGGAGAAGAGAAUAGUAUGUUCUAAGUCCUGACUUUCCUGAGCAAAAGGGGUAAGUUUUCACAGGAUAAAAUUAGAAUAAAGACAAUAGAGUUCUUGUAGAGUUCUUGGGCCCUAAUACUUUCUAACAGUGAGACUCUGGGCUAAUUCUUUUUACCUUAGUUUCCUCAUCUGUAAAAUGGGGAAGAUAAUAUUUGCAGUUCUACACUUCAUAGGUAAUUAUCAUGAAUACCACUCAACAUCAGCGUUAUAUCUCUCAGAAGACAUGUUAGCUCCCAUCAGUGUAUUUUAAGCACCUAUUUGAAAUCAACAACAAGCCUAUCCUUAUACAAAAGCACCUAGCACUGUACCCUGGAAAUGAGAAAUACUAAUAAGUGCUUGGCUGAGUGAACUGGCUGAUUCUUACCAACAUUCCCCCAAGCUACUUUAUCUGUAGCUUGUCCAACUAAUUUUCCUGUCCUCAAGAUGAGGAAACUGAAGCCAACAGGGUUAAGUGACUUGCAUAGGGUCACACAGUAAGUGUCUAAGGUUGGAUUUGAAUUCAUGAAGAUGAUAUCCAAGGCAUUAAAAAAACAUUCUGAGAAGGGGUGUAUAGACAUCAUCAGACUGCUAAUGGGUUUCAAGAUACUCAAAAAGGAUAUGGAGCCAAGGGAACUUCUUUUGCUGAGGCUGUAAUUCGCCAUGAGGGAGAGACUAUCCAAGUAAACAUGUAUGUUGUCCUAAAAUAAUUGACUUUUAUUACUAAUCCCAGUAUUACCAAAGAUUGAGUAGCUGCUUUGUGGUGAACUGGGGAAAUAUGAAAAUGGUACUUGACAUUCAAGCCCCUCGCCCCCAG
rnacentral:lncRNA from 1 species